UCUGUCUGUCUGUCUGUUUGUCUGUUUGUUUGUUUGUUUGUUUGUCUGUUUGUUUGUUUGUUUGUUUGUUUCGUGCAGAGGAGCGUGCACAGCGGCCUCGGCUGCAGCUGAAGCCUCGGACCGUCUCUGAGCCGCUCAACCAGGUCGCCAACCCGCACUCCGCCAUCUUCGGCGGAGCGAAGCCGCGAGAGGAGCACUGACUCAUUUAAAUCAGCAGCCACUUUCACCCCCCCCCACCCCCCCGACCGGACGGUGCCGACGUCGUCAGCGGCACCGGCAGGACAGAAGAAAGUGAAUUUUUUUUUUUUUUCUGUUUUUGUUGUUUCAGUGUGCAUCUGCUCGGAGCCGAAGGCCGCCAACAAAGUUUUGUAAUAAAAUGAAGAAAAGCUUUGAACGAACCUGCUGAGUCGGAACGAUUCUGAUGAGCUUUUGGUUUCUGCUUCAAACUGUAGAUGUUUUUUGGUUUUUUGUUUUUUUUUUGCAUUCCUAAAUUUUCCAGCAGCAGCAGCAGCAGCAGCAGCAGCAGCAGCAGCCGCCGCCCUGGUCCAGGUGGAGGUGUUCAGGUGUGGAUCAGGGUCAGGUGGUUUUAGACCUUCAGUCCAUGUUGGUUUUUGGCGGGUUUCGGUCUGCGUCGCUUUGACAACCGUUUGUGUCGCUGAUCAAACAGUUUGUUAGUUCUGGUCCUGGACUUUUGCUUUACUGUACCAUAGAAUAAAAACGGCUGUUUUAACUUUUUCUUUUUGUUCUUUUUUUUUCCUACACUGUUUAUGGCAAUAAAACUAUCAUCAUCGUA